GACGAACGCUGGCGGCGUCCUUAACACAUGCAAGUCGAACGAAGAGCGAUGGAAGCUUGCUUCUAUCAAUCUUAGUGGCGAACGGGUGAGUAACGCGUAAUCAACCUGCCCUUCAGAGGGGGACAACAGUUGGAAACGACUGCUAAUACCGCAUACGAUCUAAUCUCGGCAUCGAGGAUAGAUGAAAGGUGGCCUCUACAUGUAAGCUAUCACUGAAGGAGGGGAUUGCGUCUGAUUAGCUAGUUGGAGGGGUAACGGCCCACCAAGGCGAUGAUCAGUAGCCGGUCUGAGAGGAUGAACGGCCACAUUGGGACUGAGACACGGCCCAGACUCCUACGGGAGGCAGCAGUGGGGAAUCUUCCGCAAUGGACGAAAGUCUGACGGAGCAACGCCGCGUGAGUGAUGACGGCCUUCGGGUUGUAAAGCUCUGUUAAUCGGGACGAAAGGCCUUCUUGCGAAUAGUUAGAAGGAUUGACGGUACCGGAAUAGAAAGCCACGGCUAA
rnacentral:rRNA from 1 species